UAGGGUGACCAAACAUUCUGGUUUGCCAGGGACUGAGCGGUUUCCCUGGACACAGGACUUUCAGUGCUAAAACGAGAACAAUC
rnacentral:miRNA from 1 species